UUUUAAUAGUUAGGCAAAUAGUUUAUAUGCCUCAUGGGUCUGGUAUCAUUCCUUAGAACUCUGUACAUUCUUAAAACUUCUGAGCAAUAUAUCCUCUUGCACAUUCUCAGUGCAGUUAUAAAAAGUAUCACUAUAUCUUCAACUGUAUGCAGGUCUGGCCUAUUGAUAUUAACUUCAAAUUUAUGGAACCUGUUGGGCGAGAACUGCAGAACAUUGGAAAG
rnacentral:lncRNA from 1 species